ACUGGCAAAAGCAGAGCACGGUGGCACAGAGACAAAAUGAGCACACAGUGGCAUGGGAAGGAAGUACAAAUGCCUGAAAUUCUCAUUAUCACUGAAUACUUGGGGGCCACAAGAAAACUGAGUCAGUGCCUCAAUUAAGUUUUGACUUUACAAAUUCAGUGUAGUUUUGUCAACCAGAAACAUGAAAAAAACCCACAAUCUCUGGUCCACAAAAUCCACAAUGGCAAAACCUCUGCUAAGCUGUAAAAUAAAUGCAGUAUAUGGCAAGAGCCUGGAAAAGACCUAUUUGUUUCCUCCAGCUACAGCUGAUCAUUUACUAGAAACAGCUGUUAUAAAGACCACGGUGCACAGGUGUGAAAUAACUCCUCGAGGAAAGUCAAUUUCCUAAGCAGAGGAGGCACGAGUGGUCAUAGAAAAGGAAUAGUUUUGCAAAAUCUGACAUGGAGUUUGUGUAUAAAUCAGAUAGAGAACUAUGAUUCUGCUUGAAGAGAAACUCUAGCAUGGACAGGAGAGGGCUGAGCAGUUGUUAGCAGCUUUAGAAGAAAAUAUCUGAUCAGUCCCCCUGGCUUUUGUGGUGCUGUUCUUCAGUCUUUGGAAAGGAGACUUCACCAGUACAAGAGUAGAUUGGUAAUGUGGACAAGACAAUGAGGACAGCUCUGGAAGGCAUGCUGAUGUUUUGUUUCACAGUGAAGUACAAACUUUUUGCAAGAGACUACUAUAUUCCUAUCAGAGGUAUCAGAAGUCAAGUAACACCAGCAUCUCAAUCAAUCCCUGUAAUUCAUUCAUCAAACCAUGAACUAAGGGCUUCUGAGUGGGCAGAUCCUCCUUAGUCCUGUUGGCUGUGAUAUGCAGGUGGAAAACUCCAGCAAAAAGGUGAGGUUGGACAGGCGAGAAUGGUAGAACUUUGUAAAUUAUGCUAUUAUUUUGGCCAGGGCUCCAGCAAUGUGGACAGUGAAUACUGACUUAAUUAGUGGACCCACUCUAAACCAACCAGUGACGUCCCUAUACAAAGCCUGCACUCCAGCAGGGAGGGUAGUGUGUGUUACUGUAGAAAUGAAAGAUUUUGAGGAACUGGAGAGGAAGGCCUCCUGUACCUACAAAACCCACUAACAAACUCCUCCCCAUCAAAAGAUAUCAGACAGGAGCUCCUGAACUUGUUACUAGGGCUAAUUAAUAGAGAGGACUUCAGGCUGAAGGUUAUAUAACAAAUGUAGUUUACACCAACACAAUCCUUGAACAGUCAUAACCUGCUAUGCCUUGUGUACACCAAGUCAGAAUUCAACAUUAUUUUUCAUUUAUGCUUGAGUGGACUUCACACAAGUGCAUUAUUGGUGGAGAUCUAAGGGAUGAGUGGAGUUCAGAAGUUGUGCUAAGGACUGCGUGAAGGUGGAAGUGGUCAACACUGAUGGAACAAUACUCAGAGUUGAGAAGAUUUUCCCAUAGUGCAUGCCUCUCAUGGGUUACCAUAGAGAAAGAGGAUAAAAACAGAAUUGAAGAAAAGACAAUAAAGAGAGGGAAAUGGAAGUUAAGCCAGUGGGCAGAACACUGACAACCUUUUGCACAGAUGGGAGAUGCUGUUGCCACCAGCUCGAUGAAGAACUGUUAAAAGCAGCAAUGUUACAGAUCAGUAAGUACCUGUGGGCCUUGACGAGACUCUGAGGAAGGACAGCUGUAAAUUCUUAGGCUGUGCUGCCUCCCUCUUCCCGGCCACCUCCAGCCUCAGCUACCAGCCCAGGUGAUGGCACACUGUCUACAACAGAGGCACCUAGGCCUGGGCAGCCUUUAAUCAACUGCUUGUGAGGGAAAGCACAAGGCUCAGAACCCCUUCCUUGCAGGCCCAGAAGAGCCAUUUCAGCCUUGUAGUGAUUACUUGUGGUUUUUAAUUGCCUUGGAGCAACCUCCCGGGGACUGAGGUGAGGCACGUUCAUUUCUGCAGAGCUUGGCACCAGUUGUGACCACGGCAUGGACAGCAGGGCCUGAGCCCCCUCCUCUGUGAGGGCUGCCAGCCCUUCUCCCAGCACUCCGCCCCGGCGUGGCCACCACGGCCCAGCCCUGGCCGGCAUAAGGACGUGGGUCAGGGUGUGCCCUGGUGGCCAAGAAGGCUGAGGGCACCUUGGCCUGUAUCUGCAAUAGUGUGGCCAGCAGGACCAGGGCAUUUAUUUUCUCCCUCUGCUUGA